rnacentral:tRNA from 1 species
GCAUUGGUGGUGCAGUGGUAGAAUUCUCAUCUUCCAUGUGGGAGACCUGGGUUCACUUCCCGGGCAAUGCA